UAGAUGCGAGAGUAGAGCAUAUCAAUAAGCGGAGGAAAAGAAACUAACUAGGAUUCCCUUAGUAACGGCGAGUGAAGCGGGAAGAGCUCAAAUUUGAAAUCUUCUAAGGUUUUACCUUGACGAAUUGUAGUUUAAAGAAGUGUUUUCUGUUGGAGUUUUGGUAAAAGUUCUUUGGAAUAGGACAUCAUAGAGGGUGAGAAUCCCGUAUCUGGUCAUUCCUCCUAGCGUUGUGAUACACUUUCAACGAGUCGGAUUGUUUGGGAAUGCAGUCCAAAAUGGGUGGUAAAUUUCAUCUAAAGCUAAAUAUUGGCGAGAGACCGAUAGCGAACAAGUACCGUGAGGGAAAGAUGAAAAGAACUUUGAAAAGAGAGUUAAACAGUACGUGAAAUUGUCAAAAGGGAAGCGUUUGACACCAGUGUUGUUUUUCCGAAAAUCAAUUACGAAUGUUUUAUUUUUGAGGAGUUAUGACUUCAUCGGCUUGCUCCUUUCUUUAUGAAACUUUCUUAAUGCACUUUUCGGUUAACAAGUCAACAUCAAUUCCUUUUGUUGUAAAAGGGUAUGAGGAAGGUGGCUUUCUUUUCGGAGAAAGUGUUUAUAGCCUUGUAGCCUCUGCAAUCGGAGAGAUUGAGGUCUGCAGCGUAGAUCCUUCGGGGUUAGAUACAUUUGUGCUAAGUUAUAGCUUUUCAUAGACAACUUGUUGACUAUAUUUAGUCUUGUAGCUUACUCGCUUAUGCUAUUUUACCUACGCUUAGGAUGUUGACGAGACUGUCGAUCUC
rnacentral:rRNA from 1 species